rnacentral:piRNA from 1 species
UCUGUCACAAGUUGGACCAGUUGUUGGUU